GUAAAUGACUCGGGGUGCCGUUUCUUUCCAAAGAAAGGGCUGAGAAAAACCCGUCGAACCUGAACUGGAUAAUGCCAGCGGAGGGAAGUCAGAUGCCUGACCG
rnacentral:ncRNA from 1 species